CUGGGACAAUAAAUAACAUUAAGCUGUUACACACCAAGAAUAAAUAUGUUGUGUGGAGGUGCUGACUAACGAUGAAUAAACUAUAAACUAUCAAAUUAAAUAGAGUCCCACACUCCAUAUAUAAACUCUAUAUAUAAACUCCAUAUAUAAACUCCAUAUAUAAACUCCAUGUAUAAACUCCAUGUAUAAACUCCAUGUAUAAACUCCAUAUAUAAUAUAUAAACUCCAUAUAUAAACUCCAUAUAUAAACUCCAUAUAUAAACUCCAUGUAUAAACUCCAUAUAUAAACUCCAUAUAUAAACUCCAUAUAUAAACUCCAUAUAUAAACUCCAUAUAUAAACUCCAUGUAUAAACUCUAUAUAUAAACUCCAUAUAUAAACUCCAUAUAUAAACUCCAUAUAAAAUAUAUAAACUCCAUAUAUAAACUCCAUAUUUAAACUCCCAGUAAUUGAUUGGGUUUUUACCAACGUUUCAGCAUCACUGUGUCUUCUUCAGGGUGAUGUCAUGAAUACUUGAACCAGGUUAUGUAGACAAACAGUGCUAUUAGUGCAACCAAUGUCAAUAGUGAGGGGUGUGUCAUAAUUAUUAAGUUAUUAAUUAAAAUUAAUUAGUGAAACUUUUAAAAAACAAUAGUUUAUGGCGUAUUAAAUAUAGUAGGCUAUAUUAUAUAUAUCCCCCUCUCCUAUUGUUAAAUUCACUCACCGCUAGGUGUAAUUGAUCCUAUCGUACCAGUUAAAAACACUCAUUCAGACCGCUAGGUGUAAUUGAUCCUAUCUUACCAGUUAAAAACGCUCAUUCAGACCGCUAGGUGUAAUUGAUCCUAUCGUACCAGUUAAAAACGCUCAUUCAGACCGCUAGGUGUAAUUGAUCCUAUCGUACCAGUUAAAACUCUCAUUCAGACCGCUAGGUGUAAUUGAUCCUAUCGUACCAGUUAAAACGCUCAUUCAGACCGCUAGGUGUAAUUGAUCCUAUCUUACCAGUUAAAAACGCUCAUUCAGACCGCUAGGUGUAAUUGAUCCUAUCGUACCAGUUAAAAACGCUC
ensembl:lncRNA